rnacentral:lncRNA from 1 species
UGUACUAAAAAAAAAUUAAAAAUCAAAUUUUCAAAUUUUUUUAUUAUAUUAGAGGGCAAAAAUAUAAAUAAACAAAAACCCAUUAACAAGACAUGAUUAAACAAAUUAAAUAACUAAAGCUCUCCAUCUCUCCCAUUCUAAAUCAUGAACAUCUAUUCAGCCAAACCAGAUGAAACCCAUAACACAUUAAUCAGAUGAAACCCAGAUCUAUUCAGCCAUAACACAUGAUGUGGCAGAUGAAUAAAGAGCUCCAAGAUCUGUUGUGUCAUGAGCUAACAAAUCAGAUUUGGCUGAAUAAAGAGAUGAAACGGCAGUAGACUAGAUUUGGCUAACAAUUCAUUGCAGCAGUAGAUUUGGCUGAAUAGAUGUGUUAUGUGUUAUGAGCACCCAGAUGAAACGGUUUCAUCUAUGGAGCUCUUGAACGACGGCGGAUCUGGAAGGCCCCGGUGGUCGGCUACAAAGAUCUUGGCGGAUUUGUCUACUGUUUGGAGUAUGUACCUGGUGGUACUGAGUCUAUAUAUAUUUAAGUAGGUUUCAUGUUUGUAUCAAUUUUGUAGCUACUGAAGCAGCAAUUCUGAAUCUAGCGUGAACCAAUUUCUCCCUAAGGGCAGUUCUGAAUCUAGUGGGAGCCUAAAGAAAGCUUAAGCACAAGCUGACUGUGUUGUGAAGUAUGGGAGAUCUCCGCCAUGGUCGUAUUGUCAUAUAGAUUCAUAGUUUUCGGCUUCUGUUGAUUGUUGGGAGAUCUCCGCCAUCUCCGCCAUGGUCGCCAUUGCCGAUUGCAGAGAUUUGUCUGUCUACAGAUUUGUUUUGUUUUAAAUGAUAAUAAAAAUUGAUUUGUCAAAUUUACCUUUGCUCAAAUAAUUUAAAUUAAUAAAAUAAUAUAAAUAUUAUUAUUUAAGUACAGAUCAGCUUCCUAUAACCCUGCUUAGGAUGACACGUCAUAAAUUUCUGACGUGUCAAGUGAAUUUAGACAACAAUGGAAAAAAUUAAUAGUUUAUUCAUCUAAUUGAUAAAAUUGAAAGGUGAAUUACUAAAAUAAAAUAUGGU